rnacentral:rRNA from 2 species
UAAGUGCUGAAAGCAUCUAAGCACGAAACUUGCCCCGAGAUGAGUUCUCCCUGAGACUUAGAGUCUCCUGAAGGAACGUUGAAGACGACGACGUUGAUAGGCCGGGUGUGUAAGCGCAGCGAUGCGUUGAGCUAACCGGUACUAAUGAACCGUGAGGCUUAACCUU